rnacentral:misc_RNA from 1 species
GGAAGACAAAGGCUAUUUAAUUCCACACUGAGAGUUACCCAAUAAUGCUUCACAGAUGUUUACAAUAUCAAAUUGAAUUUGAUUUGCCUCUCCUUAGAGUUGUCCAAUGAUAUUUAUUGAUUUUCAUGAACUUGGAGCAACGGAUGAUUUUAACCAAAAAUCUCUUUGCACAAGAAGUGUGGCGGGUGUGUCUGGGUAUCAAGAAGAAUUG